CAACUGUGGGGAAGGGAUGAGAAAGAGGAGUGUGCCUGUCGACACCCACUGUCCCCCACAGAGGAAGCAGAGGGCCAGUGUCGCCCCGAGGCCUUCCUACGAAUGACCGGCUAAAGGCCGCAUCCCAGGGCUGAUCGGAGCCAAGGUCGAAUGUGCACUCAGAAGACUUUGUUACACUUUAUACAGACGUCACCAAGGUAUCAAGGUUUUGAUUCCGGCUUGGCUGGCGUUCGUCCUGAUGUGCAGAAGCCAAGCGAGGUCCCGAAGGCGGCCGGGCCCGAGACACCCAGGCUGUCACCCAGCUCCCCGGGGGUGCAGACACCACCGUCUCCCAAACCCCUACAAAACCAGAAAUGCGAAUCGAGAAGCAAGUCAAAGCCCACCUGCCUUUGCCAAUCCUGACACCUCAGCUGUUCCUCUCAGAGGUCUGCAGAUUGGAGGAAAUGGGAGGGCACUGGAACAAAAUCACGUGUCGGGAAGGAAGGAAAAUCUGAAAGGCAAUUACACCAAACGCUUAGAACCGUAAGACUCACAUUCAUUCUCUGUCCCUUAGAGUUAUAAAUCUUACCAUGUCUCUGAAGUGUGAACACAGCCCACACCUGCCUGAGUGAGAACCAAAGGAGGGAAAGAGACCUUUUUAAACAUCGAAACCUGCAGAAGGGCUCUGCCCCCCCUCCAGACCCCAGCCUUCCUAGGAUUGUGUCCAGGGACAAACCUUACAAUCUCGUCCACAAGCCCUGAAAGGCUUUAAGCCAUGGAGCCAGUAAUUUCCAUUUAUUCCAACGGUUAUUUUUAAUUCAAUUUAUUCCAACGGUUAUUUUUAAACAGAAGCUGCAAGAGCUCCGUGUUCGUCUAUGUGGAUGUGGAGGUUCCAGAAUUUCUCACCACCACCACCACAGCUGGAGAGAAUGGUGGACUUUGCUGGACAGACAGCUCGUGCAGUUUUCGUGGCUGAUGGACACGUGGCUGUUGAGAGCGCGUUACCUGAAUAGGUGGUUAUCGUGUUAUUCUGAAGCUUUUGCACAAGUGCCCCCUCCUCAAGGGGACUCAGGUGAGGACAGA